CUGCCGUGAAUACGUUCCCGGGCCUUGUACACACCGCCCGUCACACCAUGAGAGUCGGAAACACCCGAAGCCUGUAGUCCAACCGCAAGGGGGCGCAGUCGAAGGUGGGUCUGAUAAUUGGGGUGAAGUCGUAACAAGGUACC
rnacentral:rRNA from 1 species